rnacentral:rRNA from 1 species
GACGAACGCUGGCGGCGUGCUUAACACAUGCAAGUCGAACGAGUGGCGAACGGGUGAGUAACGCGUGGUAACCUGCCUGGUAGCGGGUGAUAACUAUUAGAAACGAUAGCUAAUACCUCAUACUACCAGAUGGACCUGCCUUGUAUUAGCUAGUUGGGGAGGUAACGGCUCACCAAGGCAACGAUACAUAGCUGGUCUGAGAGGAUGACCAGCAACACUGGAACUGAGACACGGUCCAGACUCCUACGGGAGGCAGCAGUGGGGAAUAUUGCACAAUGGGCGCAAGCCUGAUGCAGCCAUGCCGCGUGUAUGAAGAAGGCCUUCGGGUUGUAAAGUACUUUCAGCGGGGAGGCGUUACCCGCAGAAGAAGCACCGGCUAACUCCGUGCCAGCAGCCGCGGUAAUGC